CUAACCCUUAAACAUUAUUACUAUUAUAUAAUCCCUAAGAAGAGGCGGCUCUGUAUACAAUAAAGAAAGAGUAUAGAGAGGAGAGGGAAAGAAAGAAAUACAGAAAAAGCAUGUCACUGACGUCGAGGUAGUGUGUUUCUCGCUGUCAGUCCGUAUGAUCGGAGAUUCGGAGCUGAAGGCAAAUAUAAAAUUUGAUUGGGCAAUGAGAUCAGACUGGACAGCCAAAGGAAAAAGCGGAGCAGAGCGGAGCUGGGGGGAAAGAAGCCGGCGAAGAAGAAACAAAUUUCACUGUCAGAUCUGGUCACCAAAUAUUAAUAUCAGAGUAUAGGAAGCCUCCAUUCUUUUUUUGCUUUCUGUGCAAGAAUCAUCAGAAUGUUAAGCGCUAUAUUCCCUUAUGAAUGUUAUUGACCAUUGUACCUUGUAUUAAAGUUUUGUAUGAAUUGAUUAAAACGUAAUGAAUAGCUUGUAAUAUACCCA
rnacentral:lncRNA from 1 species